rnacentral:ncRNA from 2 species
UAAAAAGUUAACAGAUUUUGCAUUUUGCAGGGGAAGUCGGUGAGAAUCCGACGCUGACCCGCAACCGUGAUCGAGUCUCUCGAAAGUCGGAUUGCCUGCAGAGCCGCAAAUGACUCC